rnacentral:rRNA from 1 species
UACGAAGGGUGCAAGCGUUAAUCGGAAUUACUGGGCGUAAAGGGUGCGCAGGCGGUUUGUUAAGUCUGUUGUGAAAUCCCCGAGCUCAACUUGGGAAUUGCAAUGGAUACUGGCAGGCUGGAGUAUGGUAGAGGAAGGUGGAAUUCCCGGUGUAGCAGUGAAAUGCGUAGAGAUCGGGAGGAACACCAGUGGCGAAGGCGGCCUUCUGGACCAAUACUGACGCUCAUGCACGAAAGCGUGGGGAGCAAACAGG